AGUGAACGCUGGCGGUAGGCCUAACACGUGCAAGUCGAACGGCAGCACAGUAAGAGCUUGCUCUUACGGGUGGCGAGUGGCGGACGGGUGAGGAAUACAUCGGAAUCUACUUUUUCGUGGGGGAUAACGUAGGGAAACUUACGCUAAUACCGCAUACGACCUACGGGUGAAAGCAGGGGAUCUUCGGACCUUGCGCGAUUGAAUGAGCCGAUGUCGGAUUAGCUAGUUGGCGGGGUAAAGGCCCACCAAGGCGACGAUCCGUAGCUGGUCUGAGAGGAUGAUCAGCCACACUGGAACUGAGACACGGUCCAGACUCCUACGGGAGGCAGCAGUGGGGAAUAUUGGACAAUGGGCGCAAGCCUGAUCCAGCCAUACCGCGUGGGUGAAGAAGGCCUUCGGGUUGUAAAGCCCUUUUGUUGGGAAAGAAAAGCAGCAGGUUAAUACCCCGCUGUUCUGACGGUACCCAAAGAAUAAGCAACGGCUAACUUCGUG
rnacentral:rRNA from 1 species